GACAUUGUGGCUGAAUGGCUAAGGCAGUUGACUAGAAGUCAAUUCCUCUUUGAGGAUGCAUGUUCAAACCAUGCCAGUGUCU